rnacentral:rRNA from 1 species
AACGAACGCUGGCGGCAUGCCUAACACAUGCAAGUCGAACGAGACCUUCGGGUCUAGUGGCGCACGGGUGCGUAACGCGUGGGAACCUGCCCUUAGGUUCGGAAUAAUUCCCCGUAAGGGGUGCUAAUACCGGAUAAUGUCUUCGGACCAAAGAUUUAUCGCCUUUGGAUGGGCCCGCGUUGGAUUGGCUAGUUGGUAGGGUAAAAGCCUACCAAGGCGACGAUCCAUAGCUGGUCUGAGAGGAUGAUCAGCCACACUGGGACUGAGACACGGCCCAGACUCGGACGGAGGGCAGCAGUGGGGAAUAUUGGGCGAUGAGCGAAGGCCUAGUCCAGCAAUGCCGCGUGAGUGAUGAAGGCCUUAGUGUUGUAAAGCUCUUUUAGCCGGGAUGAUAAUGACAGUACCGGGAGAAUAAGCUCCGGCUAACUCCGUG